rnacentral:sRNA from 1 species
CCAGCUCCACUCCACAAUGUACAUGACCACUGUCUGGUCCAGGCUUUACACUGCGCCACUGAUGCACUACCGAUGCUGCUGCUGCUCUGCACUCCAGAUAAACAAAACACCUGGAAGCCAGCCAGCCACCCUUGUUGACACCCCCGCCUUUGAUGUGGAGGUCGAAUCAUCCCCUCUGUGGGCAGUGAGUCUGACAGGGAACUUACGUCCCCCAAGGAGAUCAAAGGCACCAGUGAUACAAAGAAUAGGUGUAACCACAGCAUUAAGUGCACACCAAUUGCCGAGUGCACGUUUUCACCUGCACCGUUCGUCUGUUUGUGUUAUCUGUGACUUGGAAGAAGGCCACGGAAUACUGGCAGCCACACGACCAUUACUGUCAUCAGAAUCAGCUGAUUGUGGGGCUCUGUGUCGGCGAACAGCUGACUUCUCCCUCACUGUCACUCCUGCUAAUUGUAUAAUCGCAUAAACUGACAGGAAUACGGCCAAACUUAACACUUCAACACCAGUCAAGAUUAUCUUCAAACA